GCUAUAUUUUGUCAUAUCCAAGGAACUCAAUUAUGGCGGAGCUCAGGUGUAAAUAAUCUGAGUGAAUAUUUCAAAACGACGUUUUACGUAACUUAUUUAUUAUCCACAAAAGCUAUCAGAUUUUGAAAUUUCUUGCUAUACCCCCUCCACCCAAUCUUCCAGUUUUGAAAUUCUUCUGCUUGGGCUAAGCUUUUCUGUUAACUACGAUACACAUAUUGUAUGGGAUACCUGGACUACGGACACGAUUCUUGUGAAUGAUGCCAUUACAUUACAUUAACGAUUACACGGACUUUUUUAAGCUCCUGUUUGCUUUGGCCUUAGCUAAGCUAAGGUUACUGUUCACAUUUAUUUAAUGUUUUUUCGGAACCUACUCUAUUUCGGCGUGUUGUUUAUGGAGUUUUCUUUUCCUUCAUAACGAUCUCGCAGUGCAUAAUGUCAAACGAUUUAUUUUUUUCGAUCGAUUUAAUAAUCGUUCUGGAUCGUUUUCACGUUUGGUCCGGCCUUGCUCGAAGAACUCGUGUCUCUUCUUGAAUAUGGUUUCUUGGAUAAAAAUAAUCUGUGGUUGGUUGGUUGAAGGAACAGAAUGAAAUAAUGUUUGAACACAAGCGACCGCACUUAAGACAUCAUAUUGUCCAGCACAUUAUACCCUCGAAUAGGAAUAUUGGGAGUCGGGGAAGAUAUUCUGUCUCAACCUGUUGAAAGACGUGCGCUCGCAAAGAUAAUGUUCCAACGUUUCAUCGUACUUAGAUGGCCUUCAGGGGCAAAUGUUCUUGGAUAACCUCUACCAAAAUAGCCAAUUUCCUCUCUCCAAAGCUAGAAGCCAUUUGGUUUGUCCAUAAUUCUGACCACCUCAACUAAUUUAGUGAUUUUGAGAGAGCUGAUUAAUCGACCGGCCAAUUAUACGACAGGGUAUCCAAACGUUGUUUACUGAAUUUGCUACUAAAAG